ACUGACAAACGAGGCAUCGCUGCGGAGUGUAGCGAGAACGUGCACGCCGCCCGGCCCCUCUGCUUUCCGACGCCCGGCCUCUCCCCGUUCUGCUCUGCUCUGCUCUCUCGUUUCGCCGUUCCACUCGCGAAAAUGGUUUCCGCGCGAUGGCCGUGAGUCAGUGGAAGAGAUCACAUGGCGAAGUGCUAAAUAUAAUUGACAUAGUGCAAGCCCACGGGAUCCGUGGAUCGCGUCUCUUUCUCUCUCGAGGGAGAUAUAAUUUCACGGAGAUUCGUGCUCGAUUUUUCGCCGCCAAACACGCCAUUGACAAAUAUUUACGAAUUAUUUAUUGUGCGGUGUUGUUUGUUGUGCAACAAUUCGAACGAAAUUUUUUUCCUUUCCUCCUCCGUCGAGCGUUCUCCGAGUUUCGGGGGGAGGGAAAUUUUCCUCUUUUUCUUUUCUUUUUAUUUCGUAACGCAAAGUGAAGAAUCUUUUUUUCGAGAAAGGUGUGCAAUCGCUGGGACAAGCUGUUCGAACGGGGAACGUAUGUUGUAUUAGCUGUAGGAUGGAUGGAUGGUUCCCUUUUUUUUAAGCGGGGGAGAAAUUUUCAAGGGGGAUUUCGGUUGUCGAACUGUGCACAACUGCGGUGCCGGCCACUUGCGAAAGAAUAUAUUUUUUUCUCGGCGUAUUUGGAAUCGAAGAGACGGGAAAAUGAAGGAAGAUAAAAGAGAGGAGAGGAAGAAGAAGAGAAGAAAAAAAAGAAAAAAGAAUUUGAAAAAAAUGAGAAGAUGGGGCGAGUGGGGUAAUAUGCAGAAACCAUGAAGACCGUUAGCCACCGUGACGCAAUUUCCGGGCGCUUCUAUCUAGAAUUGGCACUCCCAAUGGUCGCCAGAGGACCGAUGCACUUCAAAGCGGAGCCCCCGGACUCUUUCGACUCUACGAUUCGUUGAUUCGAUUCGUCCAUUUUCCGUCAUUUCUCGUCGCACGAGGGAGAAAGACGGCCAGACGUUUCCAAACUUUUCUACCAUAAUUGAAAUAAUGAUGCAUAAAUGAAAGUUUGGCCAAUUCUCGAUUUGGAAGGAAGAGGAUCGAACUGGAUAUCGGAUGAAGAUCGUUCGGGGGAAAAGAGAGCGUGAUGAUACGCGACAGUUUGAUAUUCUCCCGGAGAUAAUUUGAUAAAAAAGUCUUUAAAGACUCUUUUUACGUUCGAAAGUUUGCUUUUUUUUAAAUAGCAGACUUGUUCGAAUCGAGGCUUGCUUUCAAUCUCAAGAAAAAGAAAGAGAAUAGGAUUAACUCUGGAAUUAAUCGCGAACAAGAUCCCUUUUUAAAUACCCGUCAUGAUCUUGGGAUAUCCUCCGAUUAAAAGAAAAAAACUCGCGAGGAAUUCUUAUCUUAUCAUCCCCAUUCCUCCCUUCCUUUUCGUUCACAUCAAAUAUUUCUCUUCGUAUUUUUGUUUCCCUUCCCUUCCGAAGAAGGAGAGCUUUACCGAAAUUUAAUCAGGGAACGAGAGAUUUAUUCAUCGAAACUUCUCCUUAACUCUUAAAAUCAACGUCCUUGUUCGACAUAAAACGAGUUUACCUACGCAGCUUCAUAUACGGCGAAGCGGACGGUCGAGAAACUGGAGAAAUUUGAGGAAUGAGUCACUUAGGAGGCUGACAAAUCGUUGCAUCAUUCAAUUACGAACGCAUUCCUACUUUAUCUCUACUUUCCCACGAAAAAGAAAAGAAACCAAUUCUCAAUCGUGAUUGGAAAAAAAGACUGGCAAGUAUCUCAGCGAUGAUCCCUCCUUUCGAAAAUCGAAACCCUCCAGAGAGAAGGAAAAAACCAAAUCACAAAUAAUGUUCCAUCGCGAGUUUUGCAAGAGGUUCCAUCGUGGAAGGAGAGGGAAACGCAUAGAACGAGAGAAGUAGUAGGAGGGGAGGAAAAACGAAGGGUACGGAGGAAGAAAGCACUUCAAUCGCAGCACUUUGGCCGGAGCCGCGUAAUUUAUGCGUUCAAUACCCGGUCCAGCCAUUCCUCCGGAAAAAGAAAAAAAUAUAUAUAUAUAUAUAUUAAUUCCGACCUCCUUUAAAAAGUUAUCGCGAAAAGGAGGUUGGUCACGGUUGGUUAGGAUGGAGGGGGAGGAAUCGGGGGUGAAAGCGAGCCACCAACUUUCUCGCGGCCGGUGGAAAUGACUCGGGCGGUAAAAUAUAGCCGCGGACAAGUCGCAGGUGCGGCCACGCGUAGGAGAGAUCGGCAUCCUCCUCGUUACGGUGUACUUCUCUCUUUUUUCUUUUCUUCCCUUUUCCCGCUUGGACGAUCUUUUUGGACGAUACGAAGAUCGAUCGAUGUUCGAAAAAAUGAGAGUCGAAAAAAUGAAGUUCGAUUUUUGGACGAGAGUGAUCGAAACGUUUCUCUGAUAAAAACGUGGGAUGAUGUAACGUCACUGUUCACGGUCUUUCUCUCCUCGGCGCACACGUGGCGAGCGAGGUUUAAGGCAGUGCGAGAAAUUUUUCCCGGGAUUUCGGAUGCAUCGAUCGAUAAAAUUCGUUUUUCGACGGAAUUGGGAUCGUUGUGAAACGCCGCAACGUGUUGCGCGAUUCGAAAAAAAGGGGGAAAAAAGAGAAAAAAUUGUGCAUAAACACUGCGGACUCGCGUAGAAGAGAAAAAUAGAAACGGAGAAUCAUCUCGUGUCCCUUAUUCAUCGUUUUAUUCGUUUUUGGUGGCGAAAAAUUUGAAAGAAAGAAAAAUAUAUAGAUUAUGAUUACGAUUUUCGUGAAAUAAAAAAAAAAAAAUAUCCACGAAGGUAGGUCGAAUAUGUAAAAAUGUCUUUCGAGUUUGGAAAAGAGAAAAUAUUCGUUCGUGUCGAAAAGUCCUGUAUUUUUUCUUUUUCUUUUUUUGUUUGAAGAAAAUAUAGCAGAAUUUCAUUUUUAAUUGGAAAAAUUUAUAAUUCAUUUGAACCAGAAGAAAUUAAAUAUCGCUCUAAAGUGCACGAGCAAUUUCAUCUUAAUUUCCAUAAAGAAUUUCUAGCGUAGAUUCGAGGAGUGGAUAUCACGAGUAGAACACCGGAGAGGGAGAGGGAAAUUAAUUAAUUAAUUCGAUUCAUUAACCCUGGCUCGCUCGUUAUAAGGGAUGAACGUUGAAUGGCCGCAUAUAUCGCGGUCGAAAGAAGAAUUUUCCGCGCUAUUGCACCGACCCCCCCUCCUCGAUUUCUUACAGUCAUCCGCCUGUUAUACGAGAUGGGAAAGGAUCCAACUUCCGCCGUUUCCGUCCCUUCCCCCGUCCCCCUCCUACGUUCUUCCCCCACGUUUCAAAAUAAUUCUUUCACGCGAGAAUUUCCGAUACGACGUCUCUAAUUUUUCCUCCAGGAAUUUAUUUAACUUCGGCCGAACGUUUUCGUAACGAAAUUACGUUUAAUAUCGAUUCGAUAUUCCGUGGACCUUUCGCGGAGACGAAAGGUGGUUUAAUUUGAGCUUGAAUUUUUGAAGGAACGAAAAAUACGAAGCAAAGAAAAAUUCUCCUCGAAUAUGAGAGAAUAUUAAACAUCGAGACGUGUCGAGCUAAGCUCCUCGAUUAUUACUCCCACGUUUCUUCCCAAUUUAUGGAUUCUCGAAUUCGAAAAUUGGAGAAAAUCGUCGAUCUCGAGAUUUUAAAUCCUCGAUCCCCAAUUAUUAUUCCCAUGAAUUGGAAUUUCUUCCCAAUUCGUAUAUUUUCGAAUUCGAGAAUCUCCCCUUUCGCUACGGGUCCGAUUUCUCCACCGCGGCAAAAAUGUAUCCGAGAAAGAUCGUUAGCGACCGCGUUUACGCCUCACUAUAAACCCGAGUGCUUUGAUUAUGUUUAUUGAAAAAAAAACUCUCCUCGAAACGGGGUAUUUAUAACUUGUAAACACGCUCACAUUUCAUUACACUUUAGAAUCGAAUAACAUUAUAAAAUAUAAAAUAAUAUAAUAUAAUUGUACGAUAAUAAUAACUGUUAGUAAUGAUGAGAAACGAAUGAUAAAAACAAAAUACCGAUGCUACAUUUCCAGAGAAAGAUACUUGACGUACAAUAAUUUCAAUCGCUCGUCAUAUGUACAAUACGCGGCGUCUUACGCAGACCGACUAUAGUCGCCUCAUAGAAUAUCAGUGGCACUUUACGCAAACCGACUAUAGUCGCCCGUAGUUAACGAAACGGUUAAAGUAAUUUUUACGCGAUUGAAAGCAAUGUACAUAACACUUCUCCGACAACAUCCUCUCGAACGAAUUCGCGGCCGAAAGAGAGAUGCUUUUUGGAUAUCUAGUUGCCGAAUCGAGAAAGAGAGAACAACAGGGAGGAUCGAACAAUAGGAUUUAUAUAUAUAAGAAAGAAAGAAUAAUCGCCACGAGGAAAGAAGGAGUAUCCUUUUUGUACAACAAUGUUGUCUCUGCGGAGCAGCCGGUAAUUCUCACGUUAUCGUCUACGGGUGAAACUGUUGUAUAGAAAGGAGUGACGGGAGGAGAAGGGAGGAGGGAGAAGCGUAGUGAGAUAGUUAAAUAAAAUCUGGAAAUAUCUCGACCGAUAAUACCGACCGAGCCAGCCUGUGGUGACGCGAUCUUUUUUUUUUAAUUUUCCACGCGUCCAUCAUCGAUUUUUGCUGUAUUUUAUGUCAGCAGAAGCCGACCUUCUUGGAUGAUUCCUUUUUCCUUGGUUGGCAUUCCGCGGAUUCCGACUCGACCUAUUUCUCCUCAUAACGAGUUUCGUUACCAGCAAGGGGAAAAUAAGAUUUUUACAUUAUUUUAAAGUAAUGGGUUUGUUUGUGCCGUGCACCUGAAUACAGUCCGGCUGGAAUUUUUGUCGCCCGUUCUCCAAUUGGGUCAACGUUGUUUUAUACGAUGUUUGUAUUCUCUUAUGUAUUUCUUUUCUUUUCUUUUCUUUUCUUGAAAAGCGAGUGUAGACGAACAAACGAGUAAGGGAAGUCUGUUCACUCUCCAAUCAAUUUUCGAGAGAAAAUUGCUCUUUUAAAGGAAUAUAAAGGGAUAGUAUAUCGUUUAGUAAGUUUUUUUUUUUGUUUCUUGAAAUGAAGGAAAUUCGACAAAUUUGAUACUUUUUUCUUCUCUCUUACUCUCUUCGAGUGAAAAUAAACGGUGUUCGAUUAUUUUUCGAGACAGUGCAGUUUUAUUAUUAACGAAGUCGGUAAUUUCGAUGAAAUCAUCGCCUGCCCGCUGUUUAUUAUCAAAGGAGUAACAACGAGGGCAAUACGGUUCUUAACAUUUCCAUCGUUUGUUUUAUCAUUUUCGUAUAAACGCUAAGCCAUUUUGUUUCUGCCUAUAAUCUCGAUACACGUACGUAACAGAAUAAAUUUACAAUAUUUUUUUCGAUCGAAUUAUUAUCGUCGAAGAAAAAGAAGAAAAAUUGAAUAAAUUCUCUGUACCUAUCUCUCUAUCUAUUUAUUAUUAUUAUAAAAUAAUAUAUUUCUCCGCAGUUAAAUUAAAUUAGAUGCAAUCAAAGGCAAUGCAUUAAAAAUAUUAUCGAAUAAAGUUACUUUAACCACUUAUUAAAAUGCUCGUUUUUAUUCGUAGCUAUUCUCAUAUAAUAUUCGCAAUUAUUAUUACGUCUCGAAGGAUAAAUUAUCAAAGUAAUUUUAUUCGUGAUUUCAACUGUUAGAUUUUCCCCAUGGAUGCGAUUCUUCUCGAAUAAAAAAAAAAGGAAUCGAUAAAUUUUCCGGAUAUCACGUUAUAUUACGAGAUAAAUAAAUAUUACUCGAUUAGGAUCGUCUUGAAAAGCACAGCUUCAUUUAGAUUAUCGAAAACGUAAUUAUAUGGCCGCCCGUUUAUAAAUCAAAUUAAUGAAACGAUGGCGAUAAAUCUAAAUCUUUUUUACCCGAUGGUGGUAAAAUGGAGGUGGUCAGUUAAGAAGUUAAAUAACCACAGAUUAUUAACUCGAUUAAUUAUUAUUAACCCUCCCUCUCCCCAUCAAAACUUGUUGUACUUUGAAGGAUAUAAAUCGGAUAAACACACGGCCAGGGAACUUUUUUAACUUCGUCCUUAGAUAGAUAUUAUCUCGACAGGGCAUUACUUUCGCGAUACAACGAGCAAGCUUUUCCAAUUAACUUCCAUCUUAUAAAUAUUCAUGCCUCGAAUUCGCGCUCACGCCCAAACGUAAAUCCAGUUUCUUUUCCUUGCUAAAACCCUCAUUCCCCCUCCCUCCUCCUUUUUUUUUCUUAAACGAAUUUUCAAACUCGAAUUCCUUCGAAUUCGUUCCAGCAACUUUCUUUCCCAAUUAAAAAUCCGAUUGGAUUCGAUCAAGUGUUAAAUUUCGCAACAACAAGGACCAAGAUUUCGAAGAUUUUGAUUUUUUUUUUAGAAAGAAUAUAUAUGCAUAAUCUCAAGAAGAAGAUACUCUUGGAAAAUAAAAAUUCUCACUAUCUUUUAUAGAAAUAAAAUGCAAACAACAAACGCGCGAUAUUUUUUAAUAUUUCCCUAUUAUUAUUAUUAUAAAAUAAAAUUAUUAUUAUAUUCUCAGUUUUUUAAAUAAAAUCAAAAAAAGAAAAGAGAAAAAUAAUAAUCGAAGUGCUAUAAAUAUUAGAAAUUCACUUUUGUUUUCGCCUCGAUCGACAACAUUAAUACGUGAGGCAAGAGACGACGCCUAACAAAGGUCAACAAACACUUGGUGUGCCCGUGGAACGAAUCAUUUCUCGCCGAUACGACAGAGAGAAAGGUACACACGGCGAGCACGAGCAUCGAGCACCAUUAACGACGCAUCAGUUUCUCUGGCACGCAACUUUUAUUAUCCCGUGAAAUUUCCACGAGGCAGACUUUUCAAAAGAAGCAAAGAGCAAUCCGUAGAUUUUAAUGGUCGUAAUGUCUCCGUUGUUUUGAGUUCGCCCGGUGUGUGUGUGUGUGUUGGAAUGCUCCAAAAAAAUUCCCCCUUUCCAUCCAUCCAUUCGAAAAAGCGAAUGAGAAGGAAAAAGAAGAAACGAUUAUCACGAAAGUCACCCGGAUAAUUAAUUUUUCGAGUUGAAAAUUUCUCAACAAAAUUGAGAGAAUUUUGAAUGUGGAAAUAGUGGAAAAGAGUUUGAGAAAUUUGAGUUAAGAAAAAUAUCCGUCGGCAAUUGCCUCGAAGAAAAAAGAUCGCAUCCUUUAUCUCAGGAGGAAUAACGAAGGAUGUGGCGAUGUCUCGAAGGAAGCGCGUGAAAGAAACGUUCGUCGCAGUUUGGCAAAUAUUCUUAAGCCGCUUAAAGAUCCCUCCCCUUCCUCCGUCCACGACGUUGUUUACGCGCGAGGAAGGACGAGCAGAGGAAAAACUGUUCCGCUUCAGCAAUCUGGACGACCUUUCUAUCUUUUCACCCGAAAUUAACGAUGAUAAUUAGCCGGUGUGUAAGAACCAGUAAGAGCUCGCCGUUUCCCCAUCUUUUUCCUUCCCUCUUCUCCUCUUAUUUUUCCAUUUCUCUUCUCUCUUUUUCUUUCUGUUCAGUUGGAACAGAUCCUCAGAACAGAGAAUCAAUCGCUCUCGCGAAAAAUUUUUCUCGCGAGUGGAUCGUGUAUUCCAUUUGCAAGGAGUAAUAUAUAAUCUGUCCACGUUAGUUUUAGAAUACAUUCGAGACAACAGAGAAUUCGCUUUCUUCAUAUCUUUCACCGUUAUUUUUUUCCCCCACCUUUUCUCCCUCUCUCUCUCUUUCUCUUUCUCUAUGACUCUCUUUCUCUCGCCGGCCACGUGUUGUCGGCCGUUAGAACGGCGGUUCUCUUUCGUCGGAGCAUCGGACGACCGAAAACCGCUUUUGAAAACGAACUUCUUGUCUCUCGGUUGCUUCGUGCCUUAACCAAGUUGGUACCAAAGGCUAUUUUCACCAACGAACUCGUAACCCGAUACACAUCGAGCGAGGAGAGUUUGUUUCGGUGUUUCUGUGCAGUUAGAAAAUCACUGUGAAAUGGCCUUCGGGUUUCCUUUUAAUGAAAUGCGCAACUUCCGACUUGUUAAUGGGACCUCCCCCUCUCCUCGCUCUGUUCAAAACAGAACAGCGUUUGCUCUUCGCUUUUUCUUUCCAAGAUUUAAUCCAACACUUUUCCAAAAGAAAUAUUAACGUUUAAUUAUUGAAAGAAGAAGGGGAAGAGGAGGAGGAAAAGAAAGAGGAGAAGGAUGCGGGAAAUUAAGGGCAUGCAACGCGUUUAAAAAAGAUGUUUAAUCGUAUAAAAACAUCGAUUUUCUCUCUCUUCUCUUUCAAAGAUUUCGAAGAUUUUUAAUUACGUAUCGAAUUACGUAUAAAUUUUUACAAAAUAUAUUUUCGUUGGAUUUUUUCGUUUAUACGCGUUAAUUUCAUCUUGGAAUUUAAUUAAACGAACUUAAAACGGAUGAUCGUCUUAUUCCUCGAGAUUACGAGUUUAAUUCUUGUUCGUUUGGAAACGUUCUCGAUCAUUGUCAUUCUACGUGAAAUAAUAUCAACUUCCUUUUGUAUAAAUAUUUUAAUAAACUUUAAUCAAUUGAUCGACCCGAGAUAAUUUUUCUGCGAUAAAAAAAAGGAAAAAGGAAAGAGAAAAAGAAAAAAAUUUGUUUGUAUUUAACUCGCGAAGAAAUUCGUCAUGCAUAAAUAAAACGCAAUGAAAUUAUUCAUUUAAUUUUCUCCACUGUUAUUACUGAAACGUAGCGAAUACAUUAGAGAGAUUUGAAUACAUUUUGAAGAGGAGAAUCUUAAUCACCGAAUUGCAUAAUAUCGAGGAAAUGGUAGAAAGGCCGGUUUAAUAUCUUGCGAGGUAAAAUCUCAUUAUUAUGGUUUUGAAAAAUGUGAAGUGAAAAGAGGAAUUAAAAUUUCCAGAUAGACAAAAGAGUUAAUUAAAACGAUUUUUCUUCUAUCUUACAUAUACAUAUACAUACAUAAACCUUGCAAAAUCCAAUGUUCCUUUAAUCUUAGAUUCUCGAUCUCCUUCGCCCUUCCCAUUUUUUAAAUUUAUAUCAUACGUUCUCUUUCGCUCGAUAAUUAUUCGUAAAAAGAAAAAAAAAAAAGAGACAAAUAAAGAGAAUCACGAAGAGAAGAGGGACACAAGGGGCUCUCGACAAUAAGGCGAAACGACAAGGUUCUUCUUCCCUUUCUCUCUGGUUGGGGUGGCGAGGAGGAGAAAGAAAAUCGUCGAUUUUCUUCUCCUCGUCCCCCGAACAGUUGUCUCCGAGUGUGGCGUCAGCGCGACGUCCAAAAAUAGGGGGCUGUAUUAGGGCGUAAGCCCGCGGUGGCUCGUUUUCGCACGGCUCACCGGACCGCGAAUGCAUCGUCUUCGGCUGCUGGUAAUUUUAGAUCUGGAGGAGACGUCGCGACGCGGAUUUCCACUCUGUUCCUACUCUCCACCGCGAACGAUACGAACUCGGCGACGUUUCAUCGACGUUGCACAACCUCUCCCAACAACGCUCCGCGUCAGAGGAAAUGCGUUCCGUCCCACGAUCCCCCCGAAUCUUUCCAUCUUUCGACGCUUCCGUUGCGCGGGCGGAAGAUUUGAUCGCAUUUGAGCCGAUAAUUUUUUUCGAUGAGGAGAAAUUGGCUCUUUUUUUUGUGGUAGAUGAUGAAUGGAGAAAUUCGGGAAAUGAAUAAUUUUCUAUGAAAUGAAACGAAAUAUCAUUUCAUUUUAAUAAUUCGAGGGAAUAAGAAUUUCCAAGGGAGAAUUUAUCGUAUUUGAAAUUUUAUCAUCAAUUGCGAUCUCUCUCUUUCUCUUUACGGGGACGUUUUAUCCUGUGGAUUAUUUGUUGCCGUUUAAAAUACCGGUUAAUACGCGCGACGAGAGCGAGUUUAACUCGCUCCUGUAACCAAUUCUAUUGAACUUUUGCGGUAAGCUGAUCGAUGACGCAAGUUUUCCAAUUAUGUAAAGUUAUAGUUUGGCGGCGGUUAGUUUCUAACAUGAUAACACACGUUGGGAACGUCGUGUACGUAUGCAACGACGUUCUUACCAAGGCAAAUCGAGUUCGUACAACACUCGCUUAUAAACCACUCGCGAAACUUUCAUUACGCACGAGGAGGGGAAGAUUAAAAUUAUCCCAUAUCGAAUCGAAGAUUGAAUUGCAAUUUCCAUGGAAAUGGAAAAUCCGAAAUUUUUAACACCUCGCUUUUCGCGUUUUCUUUUUUUUUUUCUUUCGAGCGAAGAACGAAAGAUUUAAACAUUGUUUCCCUUCCUCCUUCCUUCCCGGAUGUCAGGGGAAGGGAUUCGCGACACUGUCGAAUAAUAAAACUGCGAUUAAUUGCCUCCUAUAUAACGUCACAUUGUGUACAAGUGCUGGACAUUUGCCAACACCGUUAUUGCUGCAAAUAACAUUCUAUAAAUAAUACAACUGCGACAAGCGAUCUCGGUAGCCAGCUUGCAUCUCGAGUAUAAGUCUCGUCGUUCAACGUCUUCCAACAAUCGAUCGAUCUUGGAGCAAUGUCGAUACGCAUAUCGGAGAUAUGCACAUUUUUAUGUCCUCGGUUAACCUAUAUCUGUAUCUUCUUUACCGACCUAAUCUUCGUUAUCGACCAAUCUUCACCUUGACCAAUCCGAUUCUCGAAUUCCUCAUCUAGGGGAAUAUUUGCAAAAUGGACGUUGCGGAUGGAUCCUUCGAUAAACUGUCUAAUCAUCCACGCUCGUGAUUUCUACAUAAGAAAUCGUGGGAACGCUAAUCGUCGCCGAUAAUAAUUUAAAUUUACAUUCAAUCGAACGAAAUAAUUAUUUAUGGAGGUAAUCAAGAAAUUGGUUCGCCUUUGGGAAUUUAAUUAUUUGCCUGUCUUUCGUAUUUUAUCGAUACUAUGUUUCCUAAUAAGGGUUUCUGAGGAGGCACGGAGGACGAGUGAAAAUGACAAAGCUCGGUCGGCUUAUCGGUUCGUGGUGUUGCACGUUUCAUUAGGUGUUCUUGACACGCCCUCGUAAAGUUAUAGUUCAAGCAAGUUUAAUGGGAUCAAUUUAGUUAUUUCGAGCGGGUUUGUUUACUAAAACGGGGCUAAAUUUCCUUAAUCCGACGCGGAAAAAUGCCGCGUAUAAAAGUCAUUAAGGGGUUAAAUAGGAUCGUUUGACACUUUUACUGCUUCAUGCCCCCACGAUUUAUUGCAUCGUGUAAUUUCUUUAAUUUUUCACGUCGCGUUAUCGCGGACUGUUCGAGAGCUAACGAAUCUGAUCGGGGAGGAGAUUCUUCCCUGGAUUAAUAUUUUUCGACACAAUGAUCCGUAAUUGUCCUUCAUCCUCCAGGCAGCGUGUGCAGCUCAUUAAAUUCGAUUCGUCGCGUUGCCAUUCAAUUCUUUUUACCCCGUAAAUCUCACUCGUCCGAAUUUUUAUCGGAAUUGGAUGGAAGAAACUAAAAAUCGAAAGGAAUCGAAACGAGAGAAAAUUAUUCUUUUUCUCAAGAAAAAUUUGAAAAGGAUCGAAAAUCAGGAGAAAAUUAUUCUCCUCUAAUUUCGAUUGUAACGCGAUUGCAAUAAAAAAUAGUAAAGCUGAAAAAAAAUCUGAAAAGGAAAUGUAAAAGAAAUCGAUGCAAUCAUCGAGAGAAAAUUAUUCCCCUCUAAUUUCGAUUGCAAUAAAGAAAAAAAAAAAAAAUGGUAAAGGCGAAGAAAAAUCUGAAAUGUAAAAGAAAUCGAGUAAGAUCGACGCAAUCAUCGAAGAGAAUUAUUUCAGCGGUGAGUAAUCGUUUGCGUGAUGUAAUUAUAGUGACUAUGAUGUAACAAAGGAAGAUAGGAAGAUCGUGGAAAGAAAUUACGAAGGAGGGAAUUCAUCCUGCAUUAUUUCGAGUAUGAAAUUGCAGAUGAUAUGAUAAGCCUGGAAUGCAAAGGAGAUUCGCUCUUCCGCCAGAUGCGGUUGCCAAAUAUUUGACUCAAAAUAUCAUUCUGCAUAAAUAAUGUCAAGCGGGAAGAAGGACGGAGCGAGUGUAUUCACUUGUUAUUCACUUGUUUCGGUUUGUGUAAUCAACACGAAUGAAAAUAUAACGCGAAAACGAUAAAGCUAAUCUUUAUGCGUGCAAAAGUGAACGGAAUUUUUCCGAAUACACAAGAUCGAUCAAUCGAAAAUAUCUGUACAAAAAAAAUAUAAGAACGGCAAAGAAUAAAAAAAAAGCUUCGUUCGUUCUUAGAACGCGAGAUUAUAAUUCUGACUGAAAAAUUGUCGAUUUUGAAUCAUAAAUUAAUAAAACAUUGCAUUCCAUCAUCUUAAUCCAAUUCUAAAUUUCGAUUCAAUAAUAAUUCUUAUUAAUAAAGAAUCUCGUACACUUUUCUUAAUUAAACCUUCCAUCUCUCCUUUAAACGCAAGAAUUAAAAGUAAUUCCAAAAAAAGAAAAAUCUCCUUUUAAAAGCUUCCCUGGUCCUAAAGGGUUGCGUGUCCCCCUCUGACGCCACUCCUUGAGGUUACUCAAGGGUCGAGCAACUGCAUACGGCGUCUUUGUACGGCAUAGUUACGAGAAGAAGAAGGCGAAGAAGAAGAAGAAGCGACGGCGAGGGGAGUAGGGAGGGGAAGGAGACAGAGAGAGAGAGAGAGAGCCUGGGUAAGUUAUCACUCGAGUCUGGACCAGGAAUAGUCGCCAUGUGGUGGCAGCCGUGGGACUGACUAUUUUCGGGUAAAGACAAAUUUGGCGCGAUGCGCUACGAGGGAGCAAAGCAAGCCUCGUGGUAGAGUCUCAAGUGUAAGCUUACAUGUGCCGGGGGGUGUCGGCCGCGACACGGAGAGGCCAAUGGGAUCUGUGCGGCCAUUUUUAGAGGGCUCGUUGAAGCAACCGUGGCUCAAAGCUUUGGCAGCAUUCAGUCUGAAGCAGCCAGCCGGCAAGGAGGAGGCCGAUUUCCGUCCGACACUUUUCGAUCGACACUUCUUCUACGAAAUCGCGCGAUCCUCGGCCUCUCUCCCUCGCUCUCACUCUCUCAUUCACUCGCUCUCCACCAAGGACCAUCCACCGCGGGGCCUGGAUCCACCGCCUCUCCCUGGAUCACCUCCUCUCUCUCCUUCCUUAUCCAUCUUAUCCGCCGUGUCGAUCGACAGAGGAGAACAGGAGGAGAAGGAGGAGGAGGAGGAGGAGGAGGAUCCACCCAGGUACACGCCACCCCUUUGCCCAGAACGGAUCCUUGGACCUCCGAGUGGAUUACGUAAUACGUUUUUUCGCAAGAUGGAUACAUCACACAGUGGUACACGCGAGCAGAGAACGGAAUAAUUCGUAAUUUUUGAAGGAAGAGGAUCGAGAAAGAGGGAAGAAGAAACCGGGCGAUGCUGUUCCGUGCUUCCUUACUUCCCAUAGUGGAUGCGACGUAUGGAAUGUAAAGAAGUAUGGAGCUGCGCCCGGACGUCGCGUCGUCCUUGCAAUUGGAUGGAGAGAAAAAAGAAAAACGAGAAAGAAUGAGACGGACGGGUCGGAACAGCUGAGAGAAACUUGAGACGAACAGUGAUCCUUUUUUUUUUCUGUUUACUUCUUGUUCCCUGUGGAUAACGAUAUGUGUAUAUACAAUAUUCUCGCGGGAAAAGGGGAAAGGAAGAAGAGGAGGAAGAAAGGAAGGAAGAGAGAGAGAGAGAGGGAGAGGGAGAGAGGGAGGGAGAGAGAGUUUUUUGUGCAAAGAGAGAGUUUUCGCUGUCGAACGUUGGUUAGGUACGUGGAAAGGGAAUGUACAACCGGUGCUAUAUAGUUUGGUAUCGAUAGGCUGGAUGCCAGAAAUAGAUGCCGGUUCCACGUAUUUUGUAACGUGACUCGGAACAUCUUUCCAUGUGGCCUCUCCCGCCUUCUCUAUUUACGAUGACGCGGGAGAUGCAACCGAUGCCUGGCUAGGAGGACGCGCAUUGUAAAACCGCACUCUCUCUCUAUCGUUCCCUCUCUUUUUUUCUUCUUCCUCCUCCUCUUCCUCCUCCUCGAAGCAUUCGAGCGGAGACGUGGACGUGCAGUAGAGUUGCAGGCUGGCAGCGAGGAAGGGAAAGGAAGGGAAGGGAGGAGAGGAGAGGAGGAGGAGGAAGGAGCUGGAGAGGAAGGAGAUCCUCGUCCGGCGUUCGAGUCAAAAAUAGGACGUGUACCACGCACGGUCACAGGCAUAUUUCCAUAAAUGAGUUCUCCGGUUACAGGGGUCUAUUUCCGGCCCGGCGGGCCGGCGACCCGGAGUUGCACAGCCAAUUACAAUCGGCUCCAGGACGGAUCUCUCGUUCUGGGAAUCUGGGAGGAAUCUGCAUUAACCGUUGCAGCGAGGAUUUUCGAUCGAAGGGAGGAUUUUCUCGAACACGCGCGUGUUUCUUUCGCUCCUCCCUCCGCUCCCUUCCCCCCUCUCCUUUCCCACGCCGUGAGUGAAAAAUUAAAAUGGUGGUUUUUGCUACGAGAGAUUACUAUCAUCGUCAGUGACGGUCGUCUCCUUCUUUCCUUUCUUUCACGUAACACGUAGUCGUUGUAUACGUAUGUACACGAUGAACGGAGAUUUCUUUGGAAUCGUUAAUUUUUCUUUUGUUUGCUCGUGGAAAUAUAUGUAUUCGAAUUUGGAUAAUAAUUUGGAUUCGUCGUUGUAAGUGCGAGUUACGUCGCGGUGAACGUUUAUUUUCAAGGAUAGGAAGUCGUCAGGCACGAAAAAAUGACGCUAAUUAAUGACGAUUAGUUUUAUAUAUGAAUCGGCGAGAGAGUAUGGAUCAAUCGUUUUUAACGAGAUGAGUAAUUUUGCUUCCCUUUGCUCUCGAAGAAUCUAGAGGUUAUUUUCUAUCUUCGUUCUCGAGAUACAAUAACUUUGUGCUAUUUCGGAUACAUGUAAAGUCUUUCUGCGUUUAAAAAUUCUGUAUUAUUAUUAUUAUUAUUAUUAUUAUUAUUAUUAUUAUUAUUAUUAUUAUUAUUAUGAAAAUAAUAAUAGAAGAAAUUUGUUCGCAAUCAAAGUUGUUUCGAUAAUUUAUUUUUACGCGCAUAUUCUAUUAAUAAAAGUUAAAUUAUUCGAUCGAGCAAUUGUAUUAUAUAAUCGCUUGCGCAAACUAUUAAUAACUCGCGUGUUUCAAAUAUCGUAUUCCUAUAUUUAUAUGUUUACUUUGUACGAAAAGUUUUAUUUACGGAGAGUACUAUUUUACGAUUAAUUGCAUCAACAACUGUGUAUCAAUUAUACAAUAAUAUAUAUAUAUAUACAUACACGAAUAAUGAAGAAUAAUCAACGUCGCAAUAAAAAAUCGAUAUAAAUAAAA